rnacentral:tRNA from 1 species
GCUUUCGUGGUGUAACGGUAGCACACUCGGCGCGUAUUCAAGAGGUCCAGGCUCGAGCCCUGGCGACGGCU